rnacentral:tRNA from 1 species
AAGGAUUUAAGUUAAACCCUUAAACUACCAACCUUCAAAGCUGGAAAUAGAUAAGUGAAUCUAAGCCUUA